UACGGAGGAUGCAAGCGUUAUCCGGAAUGAUUGGGCGUAAAGGGUCCGCAGGUGGCAGUGUAAGUCUGCUGUCAAAGAAUGAGGCUUAACCUCAUCAAGGCAGUGGAAACUACACAGCUAGAGUACGGUCGGGGUAGAAGGAAUUCCUGGUGUAGCGGUGAAAUGCGUAGAGAUCAGGAAGAACACCGGUGGCGAAAGCGUUCUGCUAGACCUGUACUGACACUGAGGGACGAAAGCUAGGGGAGCGAGUGGG
rnacentral:rRNA from 1 species